AGGUGUUUACUGCCAUCUAGUGGAAGAUACCAAUAAAACACUUUAUUUUCAGGGUGGGGAGACGGCUGAUUGAAACAGAAAGUAAAGUUGUUCUUUUGUUCAGGAUCCAUUUUGAGACGACAGAGCAGAAAACACUAUAUGGAGAUUAUUGAAAAAUAAAGGGUCCUGUCUCUAAAAUGAGUCUCUUUGGGGAGAGAGAGGAGGGGGACCCUGCCUCUAAAAUGAGUCUUUCUGGGGAACAUGACACCAAAUCUAAGAGUCCAAUCAAGCAGGAGAGACCAGCCUCCCCUGUUCCCAGCUGUGUGUCCAUGAAGAGUGACUGGUCUAUGGGUCUACCUAUAAACUUUAGAGAGGGAGACGUUUCUAC